CCGCUGGCGUCUGGCCAAUGGGAGCGCUCAGUUGGGGCUGGUGGGGGCGGUGUUGCUCCGGGCUGCGAUACCCGCUAGGGUGCGGAUACCUUCUUUCAUGAUGGAAACUUUAUCUUUUGCUCCUUGCCUGCCACCUAUAUUCAAGAGGCUAUGAGAAAGCAGACAGGAAGCUCCACAGACAGGCGGGGCUGCUUU